UACGAAGGGGGCUAGCGUUGCUCGGAAUUACUGGGCGUAAAGGGCGCGUAGGCGGCACUGUUAGUCAGGCGUGAAAGUCCUGGGCUCAACCUGGGAACUGCGCUUGAUACGGCAGAGCUAGAGGAUGGAAGAGGCUCGCGGAAUUCCCAGUGUAGAGGUGAAAAUUCGUAGAUAUUGGGAAGAACACCGGUGGCGAAGGCGGCAACCUGGUCCUUGACUGACGCUGAGGCGCGAAAGCGUGGGGAGCAAACAGG
rnacentral:rRNA from 1 species